rnacentral:rRNA from 1 species
CAGUCGCCGCGGUAAUACGAAGGGGGCUAGCGUUGCUCGGAAUGACUGGGCGUAAAGGGCGCGUAGGCGGAUUUGUAAGUCAGGGGUGAAAUCCCGAGGCUCAACCUCGGAACUGCCUUUGAUACUGUGGAUCUUGAGUCCGGGAGAGGUGAGUGGAACUGCGAGUGUAGAGGUGAAAUUCGUAGGUAUUCGCAAGAACACCAGUGGCGAAGGCGGCUCACUGGCCCGGAACUGACGCUGAGGCGCGAAAGCGUGGGGAGCAAACAGGAUUAGAUACCCGAGUAGUCCCUGUCUCUUAUAA